rnacentral:rRNA from 1 species
UACGGAGGGUGCAAGCGUUAUCCGGAUUCACUGGGUUUAAAGGGUGCGUAGGUGGAUAAUUAAGUCAGUGGUGAAAUCUUCAGGCUUAACCUGGAAACUGCCAUUGAUACUAUUUGUCUUGAAUACUUUGGAGGUAAGCGGAAUAUGUCAUGUAGCGGUGAAAUGCUUAGAUAUGACAUAGAACACCAAUUGCGAAGGCAGCUUACUACACAGUAAUUGACACUGAGGCACGAAAGCGUGGGGAUCAAACAGG